CUGAUUUGGUGGUGUCGCUGUUCAGUUGCAAAUUUAAUCCUUGGUCUGGCUGCCAUCUGGAAAGUGUCUACUAUUCUGAAGAUGUGCAUGAUCCUAAUGAGUAGAGUUAAUAAAUAGAAACCUAAAUGAAAUACCCAGUGCAAACUAUGUUCUUCAAUGUGGAAUUAAAAGAGGUAAUUGCUUCCCCUCAUGGGAGGUAAGCAGGUCAUGGGUGCCGAUGAGUGUCCAUUGGUUGCUCAAUUGUGAUAUUAGCAGUUCCCUAUGAUAAAAGAUGGAGCUCGAGUAUAUUCUUUGCAAUUCAUGAGGUAACUGUACAUGCUUUAGUAUCUAACUGAUUUGGAAGACGGGUUAGCAUGUCUGUGGAUUUUAUGAUUUCUGCUGCCAAUAUAUGUUGUUGCUUAAAUGUUAAUCGUUGUUAUGCAGAAAACGAAGUCGUUCACUGUCCCCAAGGCGCCGCAAAAGUCGUUCUCCAGCCACCAGACAACAUAAAAGUCGCUCUCCAAUGAACUAUAGGAGACAAAAAAGAAGUAGGAGUAUAUCAUUGUC
rnacentral:lncRNA from 1 species